GUGAUGGUUUAGUGCUAGUUAACAUGUGACGGUUUAGUGCUAGCUAACAUGUGACAGUUUAGUGCUAGCUAACAUGUGACAGUUUAGUGCUAGUUAACAUGUGAUGGUUUAGUGCUAGCUAACAUGUGACAGUUUAGUGCUAGCUAACAUGUGACAGUUUAGUGCUAGUUAACAUGUGACGGUUUAGUGCUAGCUAACAUGUGACAGUUUAGUGCUAGCUAACAUGUGACGGUUUAGUGCUAGCUAACAUGUGACAGUUUAGUGCUAGCUAACAUGUGACGGUUUAGUGCUAGUUAACAUGUGACGGUUUAGUGCUAUCUAACAGGUGAUGUUUAGUGCUAUCUAACAGGUGAUGUUUAGUGCUAGCUAAAAGGUGAUGGUUUAAUGCUAGGUAACACGUUAUGGUUUAGUGCUAGCUAACAAGUGAUGGUUUAGUGCUAGCUAACAGGUGACGGUUUAGUGCUAGCGAACAGGUGACGGUUUAGUGCUAGCGAACAGGUGAUGGUUUAGUGCUAGCUAACAGGUGACGGUUUAGUGCUAGUUAACAGGUGAUGAUUUAGUGCUAGUUAACAGGUGA